CCGAGCUGUCAGCACAGAGCCUGACUCGGGGCUGGAACUCACAGACCGUGAGAGCAUCACCUGGGCCGAGGUAGGAGGCUUAACCAACUGAGCCACCCAGGUGCUCCUACUUUAUCCAUUUUAAAGCUUUUGUUCCAGCCCCAAUGAGGAAAAGCUGUUUUAAAGAUGGUGGAAAACACUCUCGUCGGGAAAGGAAGCGGGACGUGAGUGCAGUGUGAGGAAGGAGGCAGAGGGAGUGUCACCCGUCCAGGCUAAAGAGGCCACCUCAGCCCUCAGUAGGCACCAUUCAUGCUCACGCGGAUGAAUGAACUCGUUCUGUGAUCAGCACGGGGCCACACAGGCUUUUAAGCAGACCGUCCCAACGAAUGACCCAAGAGAGUCCAGCCCACGUUCCUAAUUCGGUGGAGACGUAUGAAAAUCCAGCCUGGAGAACCCGAGCCCAAGACAAUUUCCAACAUAAAUGAAGCUAUUCCUUAAGACCAGCGCUGGGAAUGCCCGCAGUGAGCUGGACUUUCCUGUAUGUGAUUACAGGGCUGACCUGAUCCACGGAGCAAACUCAUGGCAAAUGGGAUGCUGUCUUCCCACUUUCAGUGCGAACAAGCCCCUGAUGAAGUAUCUCAUCUAAGGAGACGGUAACAAUAGAAACUUGAGUGCACGGCACCCUGAGUUGUUAAUGGCGGUUCGUGAACAUUACCCCAUUCAAACGUUUCUUCUUUUAAGUGUGAUCUGGCAUGAGUAAAAAAGGGGACGCAAUGAUUUUUCUCAACAAUAUUACUGAUAGCUAAUAAUCACAGUCCAUUGCACAUGUAGGUUAAUUCUUUAAAUUUAAUCAGUCCUUUAUAAAACGUCCCAAUUAAUUAGUAAAAGAUGGCUUAUUUUAAUAGCCUUAAACAUUGGUCGCUAUUUAAACAAGACAUUCUAAAAAAAAAAAAGGCAAUCACAUAAUAGUUUAUAGUAAUUUACAAGUGGAUGGUAUACAUUUAGAUACAGAGGUAGAGGUCCACUUUAACAACAUUUCACUAAUACACAUUUACCAAAUUCAAGGCACAAAAUAGUUUGCUUUACAAAAAAAUACUGUAAAAAUGUCAAUUGCUGUUCUACAAUGUGAAUAAAACUUUCAGAAGAAUCUUUACACCCUUCCAUACGUACUCCAUAGAAUAUGGUUUUUCCCCCUCAGUAAUCAUAGUUGGCACAAAAAUGGGGACUUUUUUUUUAAUGCGGAAGUUCCCAAUUUUAGGAACUGUUUCUUUGCAGAGCUGCUAUGUAUUCUAGAUAAAAGUCCACUCAGAGAAAUGAAACACAGCAACUUCCUGAGGAAAGGGCACUUUCUGUAUGCAGCAAAAUUCACAGGUAGAAAAUGUAUGACCUUUGUGGAUAACUAGGUCUCCAGAGUAAUAGAUCCUUAAGGGAAGAUUUCAGAGAUAAAAUUAAAAAUCCGGCUAACACUUCAGUCAUUAUGACUUUAAGAAAGAGACCUGAUCACCUUUACUGUAAUAAUCAAACAUCAUUUACUUCAAAUUGGUGGAGAUUUCAAAAUUCCUUUUCAAAAGAGCUGUACACACAAACACCACGAAAAGCCACACAGGCUUUGCAAAACUGAAACUUAUAAAACAUGAGAAAAUAGAGCACUAUCAGUCCUUGAAGUUGCAAGGGCGUCAAUUGGCUAGAGUUUAAUUACAAGAAUUAAUAAACUCCAUGGAGAUUAAAAAAAAAA